rnacentral:lncRNA from 1 species
GGAACGCAGCCAAUUGGUCUCAGCCUCGUUUCACUCAGCCCCUAUUCAAGAUGCAGUUGCUCUGGUUCAAACGCCUCUGACAAUUUCAUGAGGUCUUUAGGUUCAUCCAUUCAUUCCACCAUCAUUUAUAAACCGUCUGCUGUAUGCCAGGCACUGUCGUAGGCAGAGGGACCAAAAGAGAUGAAAACAGCUAUUCCUCAGAGUCAGAGCUGGGGAGUAUCUUCCUCAGUGAUCACUUAGAUUUUAGCCCCUUUGGAUGGCUUCUAAAUAAGUGUAUGCUGUGGUAGCUACACUACAUAUCUAUGGGAUGCUUGCAAGAAUACAAAAAUGAACUUUACUAGUUAUGAGAGACUACAUUGCUGAAGCCAAUGGACUCUAAAGUACAGUGGUUCAAACCCAAUAGAAGAUUAUCACACAUAAAGCAGGGUGAAUAUUCCAAGUCAGCUGCAACGGUCUUCCGCAUGGAAAAUCAGGACUGCGAGCUCCUCCAUCUGAGAUUCAGCUUUCCUAAGGUCUUGAUGUCUCUUUGGUCCAGUUAAAGGAAGUGGGGUGGGGAAGGAAGGUGUGGACACUUUCUUAAAGGGCUACGCUAGGGACUGGUACACCAUAUUUCUCCUUAUAUUUUGUUGGCAAAAAUUAAUCACAUGGCCACAGACAGCUGCAAGAGCUGCUGGGAAAGUUAGUUCCAGGUUGCGCAACUGCUUCCAGUCAUAACUCUAUUUCUAUGGACGAGGAAGAUCUUGGUGAGCAGCUAUUGUCUUACUCACAAAAGCUGAGAGAAAGAAAAUGGAUAAAAUGGAUAGCCACAGAAAAUCUAAGUUAAGUCACUAAUAAAAAU